rnacentral:hammerhead_ribozyme from 1 species
AUCCAGCUGACGAGUUCCAAAUAGGAUGAAACGCGCAUUCUGGAU